GCGUGCUUAACACAUGCAAGUCGAACGGUGAAGCGCUUGCCUUUUUGGUGGGUGUGGAUGAGUGGCGAACGGGUGAGUAACACGUGAGUAACCUGCCCUCUUCUUCUGGAUAACCUCAUGAAAGUGGGGCUAAUACGGGGUAUUCCGGGUCUGUCGCAUGGCGGGUUUGGGAAAGAUUGCGCCUUUGGGUGUUUUCGGUGGGGGAUGGGCUCGCGGCCUAUCAGCUUGUUGGUGGGGUGAUGGCCUACCAAGGCGGUGACGGGUAGCCGGCCUGAGAGGGUGGACGGCCACACUGGGACUGAGACACGGCCCAGACUCCUGCGGGAGGCAGCAGUGGGGAAUAUUGCACAAUGGGCGCAAGCCUGAUGCAGCGACGCCGCGUGAGGGAUGGAGGCCUUCGGGUUGUGAACCUCUUUCGCCAGUGAAGCAGGCCUGCCUCGUUUGUGGGUGGGUUGA
rnacentral:rRNA from 1 species